GAUCUUCAUUUUAGAAUGCAAUUUGAUGAAUCAGCUGUGUUUGCUAGGGAUGGAGAAAAAGUGUGACAUCAAUCAGGCACCCGAGGACUGGAGUUGCCCAGCCUCAGGAAUGUGGCCUACCAGCUGAAACUGGAGGAAGAUCCUAAAAGAUAGAGCGCCACAGCCGAGAGAGGAAACAGCAGAGAAGAUGAACGUGGUGAACAUGGAGAGGCCCGGGAGACGGACAGUAAUCUGAUCUCUGGGAUCUGCGGAGAUGGGAGAGACGACAGAGGACACACAUUCCAACCUAGAAGAGAAGCACAUAAGGAUCUGGAAAAAAAGAGGUAGCCUCAGAUGUAUGCUACUUCAAGAAGGACAUUAGUGUGCUGGAAUAGGAUGAGCAGCAACGAGAAAUGUCUCAAACAAACGAGACGUCAGAUCAUCUCCAAGCCCAGGUCAGGGGGGAUUUUGAGGAUCAAUAAAGAGCAACUUAGAGUUAAAGAGGAGGCAAUCAAAUAUGUGGAAAAGGAAGGUUGCCUGGUUGACAAGACAGUAAUCGUGCUCUGGUGGAUGGAGAGGGGCUGCAUUUAGAUGAGGGUGAGGAGGAAGGAGGGGCAGUGGAUGGAGGGUGGAGAAGAACCUGAUAGAGGGGAAUAUGAUAAAGAGGAAUAUGAUGGAAAGGAAUAAGAUGGAGGGGAAUAUGGCAGAGAAAUAUUAUAGAGAGGAAUGUAACAGAGAGGAUUUGUUUGAUUAGAUCACUUUAAGAUUUAAAACCUCUUAAACUGACAGUCCCUGAAACACUACUACCUUAAUAAAAUGUUUCCCUCUUGA